CUACGAGAUUUUUUCCAUUCAGAAUAUCAGCUACUAAAAACUUACAAUAGUACGUGGUUUGGCGCAACUGUUGCUAUAAAGAUGUGGUAUGCAAAAGAAAGGACGAUAAAAAGUCUGUAGUAGCAGAUAUUUAACGGGAAAAUCUCGUAGUCGUACCAGAUUUCGUAGCCGUAGCGAAUCUAAAGUUCCCUAAUUACUGAUGUGGAGGUUAUAAUUGUAGUAGUCG